rnacentral:rRNA from 1 species
CCCUUAGAUGUUCUGGGCCGCACGCGUGCUACACUGAGUGGAUCAGCGGGUCAGGUUGCGCGAAAGUGUUUCCUAAUCUUUAAAUCCGCUCGUGAUGGGGAUUGACGGUUGCAAUUUUCCGUCAUGAACGAGGAAUACCUUGUAAGCGCGGGUCAUCAUCCCGCGCUGAAUACGUCCCUGCCCUUUGUACACACCGCCCGUCGCUCCUACCGAUUGAGUGGUCCGGUGAGGCUUUGGGAUCUGAGCGGAAAGAGCGUUUCGCUGUUUCUGCCCGGAAAACUCAGUCGAACCUUAUCAUUUAGAGGAAGGAGAAGUCGUAACG